rnacentral:rRNA from 1 species
UGGCGAAGGCACCUUUCUGGGGCAACACUGACGCUGAGAGACGAAAGCGUGGGGAGCAAACAGGAUUAGAUACCNUGGUAGUCCACGCCNUAAACGAUGUCAACUAACUGUUCGAAGUCACUAAGAUUUUGAGUAGUGAAGCUAACGCGAUAAGUUGACCGCCUGGGGAGUACGGCCGCAAGGUUGAAACUCAAAGAAAUUGACGGGGGCCCGCACAAGCGGUGGAGUAUGUGGUUUAAUUCGAUGCAACGCGAAGAACCUUACCCGGUCUUGACAUGGUAGGAAUCUUGUAGAGAUACGAGAGUGCCUUCGGGAACCUACACACAGGUGCUGCACGGCUGUCGUCAGCUCGUGUCGUGAGAUGUUGGGUUAAGUCCCGCAACGAGCGCAACCCUUGCCCUUAGUUACCAUCAUUUAGUUGGGGACUCUAAGGGGACUGCCGGUGAUAAACCGGAGGAAGGUGGGGACGACGUCAAGUCAUCAUGGCCCUUAUGACCGGGGCUACACACGUACUACAAUGGUCGGUACAGACGGUCGCAAGCUCGCGAGAGUAAGCUAAUCCGAGAAAACCGAUCGUAGUCCGGAUCGCAGUCUGCAACUCGACUGCGUGAAGUCGGAAUCGCUAGUAAUCGCAGAUCAGAAUGCUGCGGUGAAUACGUUCCCGGGCCUUGUACACACCGCCCGUCACACCAUGGGAGUUUGUUGCAAAAGAAGUAGGUAGCUUAACCGCAAGGAGGGCGCUUACCACUUUGUGGCCGAUGACUGGGGUG